AUGAAAGUCUGUCACACUUUGAUCUGCUUCUUCUUCCUCUCACUGCAGGAUGGAAACAUUCGUCUAAUCAAUGCAGAAAUCCUCGUCCAUACAGGAACUGAAGGAGGAAACAUCACAGUUAAAUGCUCCUUCUCUUCGUCUGGAAGAAGGAAGAUCUUCUGUAAGAGAAAAUGUAAAGGAAAAGACAUUCUCAUUGAAACAAAUGAGGACAGAGCUCAGAGUGGCAGAUACAGCAUUGAAUAUGAAGAAAGAACUGAUGGAUCUGCACUUUUGUAUGUGAGCAUCACAAACCUGACUAAGUCUGACUUGGGGCGGUACAGAUGUUGGUUGGACAUAAAAUGGUCACGAGAUUUAACCGAGGACUUUGAGCUCAGAGUUGAAGAUGCUCCAACCACUUCAAAACCAAAGAGGAAAACCACCACCAAAGCACCUUUUACACCAUCAGUCCCAUCAGCCUCCACACCGACAACAACACAGAGUUUAAGCUCCAGUUCAGGAAGCUCCACACCUUCAUCAUCCUCCCCUGAAACCACCAACCAGCCUGAACAGCAACAGAGAGCUGCAGGUCCAGGUACAUUUACAGCAUUCAACAAAACCUUGUUUGUGAAUAUGUAUGUACUGUAGGUAUGCAAAUAUAUGAAUGUGUAAUCUUGUCUGUGUGGAACUAAUGUUCACUGUUGGUUUGAGUUACUUUUGUUCAGUCCAAUUAUUCAACUAACAUACAAACAUAAAACAAACAUCAGAUUAAACAUUCACAGGUUUACUGCUGUAUGUGAGUCUGACUCUGGUCGUCAUGAUCGUCGUAUUAUCAGCGGCUGUGCUGAUAUUCUGCAGGAAGAGGGCCAGUAAACCCAAAGGUGAGACUGCAGGAAACACACAAACUCAAAAAAGGCAACUGACCACCUAAAACUUAAUUUUCUCGCAAAUGUCUCGCCUCUACCAGCUUUCAUAUAUGAUACAAAUAUAAAAAAAUAAAUAACAAACUUUGGUAUGUUUAACACAUGAUGUGUAAUUUGACCUUAAACCUUAAAGUUUCUGCACUGGGGCAAAUGUAAUGUACCACCAUUAUAAAAGAGAUGUAGGUAAAACUGUUGACAGGACACCCAAACAGCAAACAAUGUCAAUUAUCACCCUUUGUGUUAUGAUUUUUAAAGCAUGGACAUUUUUCUCAGAGCUGUAUGUGUCUCUUUGACUAAACCUGCCCGGUUGCAUUAACCACCUUCAGUUCAAGACUUAAGUUUGUUUUGUUUUUAUUGUUGUUCUCCUUGAAUAUGGAAAGCACAAACACAUCAUUUUUGUGAAAUGAACCGUAGAUGAAGUAAUGAGUAAUAUGAAAAUACUAAUACUAAUAAAGUGACACUGACAGGAGUCGACAAAAACUGGUGAGUUUCAGUAAAAUUAUAUUUGGUUUUUCAGAACCUCCUGUGGAAACUGAGUAUGCUAAUGGGACAGAGGUGAGUUUGAGUACAUUUGGGAUAUUUCAGUGUCAUUAGUGUUUGUGACAGCAGCUGAUAUUAAUACAAACAGACCCCUGUUCUCUUCCUGCAGACCAACAGAGUGUAUGAGGGGAUCAGAGAGGAGGACAAACAGAGCAGAUCUCCUCCUGCAGAAAUAUCUACAGUUUACACUUACGCCAAAUACUCCAAACCAGAUGCAGUUGAAACCACAGAUGAGUACAGCCUUAUCACUGCAGCCGGUCCCCAGAACAAAGUGAGUAAAAACUAUGGUCAGAUUUUAGGAUUUAGGCUCAAAACACAUUUAGGCUACAUCCACUAAUAUAACUUGACAUGGUAAUAAUUUUGAUUUUUACACAUUUCACAAAAGCUGUUUCUCUGUCUCACAUCUAAAUACGACUGAUGUACAAUUCACUUUUGAAUCAGUUGUCCUUUGUUGUUUAGAUCCAGGCUUUGUGACUAAUAAAAUGUUUGUUGUUGUACAACAGAGGAAAUAUUUUGUGCAAAAUAGAGAGAAGAUUGUCCUCAAAAAUAUGGUUUUAAAAGUGUAUGUAUCAGAUUUAAAACAAAGUCCAAAUUUUACUAAAAAAUAUAAGAUAGAUAUAUUAUAACACUAAGAUUUACAAUAAUAACAUACACCGAUCAGCUAUAACAUGAUGAGCACUGACAGUGGGGGGGAUGCCUGGCUGCGUCGCUUACCUGGGGAAUACAUGGCACCAGAAUGCACUAUGGGAAGCCGGCGGAGGCGAUGUUCUGCUGGGAAACCUUGGGUCCUGUUAUUCAUGUGGAUGUUACUUUGACACGUACCACCUACCUCAGCAUUGUUGCAGACCACGUACAGUCUUUCAUGGAAACUGUAUUCCCUGAUGGCAGUGGCCUCUUUCAGCAGGAUAAUGUGCUAUGUCACACAGUAAAAAUGGUUCAGGAACAAUUUGAGGAACACAACAACGAGUCCCAGAUCUCAAUCCAAUCGAACAUCUGUGGGAUGUGCUGGAGAAACAAGUCCGAUCCAUGGAGGCCCGACCUCACAACUUACAGGACUUAAAGGAUCUACUGCCAACGUGUUGGUGCCAGAUACCACAGCACACCUUCAGAGGUCUAGUGGGGUCCAUGCCUCAAUGGGUCAGGGCUGUUUGGCAGCAAAAGAUGGACUAGUUCAAUAUCAAACAAAAAGAAAUAUAUCUAUUUAUUUUCAGUUUGUUCAUCAAGAGAGAAUAGUAACCAUAAAAUAAAAGCUUCCAGUUGCUAUUAAGACUAAAACAGUCAGUAAGUGAUAACCUUUGACCUCUGAUUGUUUUCUUCCAGACUGAAGACGACCCGAGUAAACUCACCUACUCUGAGGUGGAUUUCUCCAACGGUGCAGCUGCCUCGCUCCACAGCGCCCCCCGUGGUGAUGCAGAUAACGUGGUCUACUCUGUGCCUCGGGUUGCAGCGAGCAGCCACGCCGAAGACACUUCCCCUCCUCUGUACUCUACUGUUAGUUUGCAUCAGCUGUAGCUCCAACGCUGUCGACGCCACAUUGACUCUCUCAGUGGUCAACAGGUGAACACACAGUGGUUUGAAGGACUCACAUUCACACACAAAUCUGUUUGUUAGCUCCUUUUACUACUUCGACUUUAAGUUAAGCUUCUCUUAAAUAUUUUUAUUAAUGAUAUUAAUGUAUUAUUAAAGUGCAGGUGAAAUAAAGUAUUUAAUUUUAACCCUUUCAUAUUGCAUCCUCAGUUAUUUUGAUCCCCUAUUUAACUUAAUUUUAAUGGACUACAGCUUCAUCAAAAUGUCCCCACCAGGAGUUGAAAUAUGGACAUUUUGAAUUUGGGUAAUGUCAGGAAUGGAUGCAGCAUCCCCACUAACCCCUAAUAUC
rnacentral:lncRNA from 1 species